rnacentral:rRNA from 1 species
UACGGAGGAUCCAAGCGUUAUCCGGAAUCAUUGGGUUUAAAGGGUCCGUAGGCGGUUUGGUAAGUCAGUGGUGAAAGCCCAUCGCUCGACGGUGGAACGGCCAUUGAUACUGCCAGACUUGAAUUAUUAGGAAGUAACUAGAAUAUGUAGUGUAGCGGUGAAAUGCUUAGAGAUUACAUGGAAUACCAAUUGCGAAGGCAGGUUACUACCAAUAUAUUGACGCUGAUGGACGAAAGCGUGGGGAGCGAACAGG